CCACUCACCAACUACAACAGCAAAAAAGUCAGGAAAAACUUUUUUUUUGUUUUUCUGACACUUAGCUGGAUUCCUGGUUGGUCCCAACCACCCUGGACAGGAUGCACCCAGCUUGGGAUAACCAAGGUGAAGCCAUGCAUCAUCUAUGAUGCUGAUUCACUAUGUGGACAUGACACAUCCAAUAGGGGCUUCCUAGACUGCUCUAU